CCUACGGGAGGCAGCAGUGGGGAAUAUUGGACAAUGGGCGAAAGCCUGAUCCAGCCAUGCCGCGUGUGUGAAGAAGGCCUUCGGGUUGUAAAGCACUUUCAGUGGGGAAGAAAGCCUUGGGGCUAAUACCCUCGAGGAAGGACAUCACCCACAGAAGAAGCACCGGCUAACUCCGUGCCAGCAGCCGCGGUAAUACGGAGGGUGCGAGCGUUAAUCGGAAUUACUGGGCGUAAAGCGCGCGUAGGCGGUCUGAUAAGCCGGUUGUGAAAGCCCCGGGCUCAACCUGGGAACGGCAUCCGGAACUGUCAGGCUAGAGUGCAGGAGAGGAAGGUAGAGUUCCCGGUGUAGCGGUGAAAUGCGUAGAGAUCGGGAGGAAUACCAGUGGCGAAGGCGGCCUUCUGGACUGACACUGACGCUGAGGUGCGAAAGCGUGGGUAGCAAACAGGAUUAGAUACCCCGGUAGUC
rnacentral:rRNA from 1 species